rnacentral:tRNA from 1 species
GGAGAUGUGGCCGAGUGGUCGAAGGCGCUCCCCUGCUAAGGGAGUAUACCGGGAACGGUAUCGAGGGUUCGAAUCCCUUCGUCUCCGCCA